CACGUAGGCGGAUUUGUAAGUCAGGGGUGAAAUCCCGAGGCUCAACCUCGGAACUGCCUUUGAUACUGCAAAUCUCGAGUCCGGAAGAGGUGAGUGGAAUUCCUAGUGUAGAGGUGAAAUUCGUAGAUAUUAGGAAGAACACCAGUGGCGAAGGCGGCUCACUGGUCCGGUACUGACGCUGAGGUGCGAAAGCGUGGGGAGCAAACA
rnacentral:rRNA from 1 species